rnacentral:rRNA from 1 species
UGGGGAAUAUUGCACAAUGGGCGCAAGCCUGAUGCAGCCAUGCCGCGUGUAUGAAGAAGGCCUUCGGGUUGUAAAGUACUUUCAGCGGGGAGGAAGGGAGUAAAGUUAAUACCUUUGCUCAGUGACGUUACCCGCAGAAGAAGCACCGGCUAACGCCGUGCCAGCAGCCGCGGUAAUACGGAGGGUGCAAGCGUUAAUCGGAAUUACUGGGCGUAAAGCGCACGCAGGCGGUUUGUUAAGUCAGAUGUGAAAUCCCCGGGCUCAACCUCGGAACUGCAUCUGAUACUGGCCAGCUUGAGUCUCGUAGAGGGGGGUAGAAUUCCAGGUGUAGCGGUGAAAUGCGUAGAGUUCUGGAGGAAUACCGGUGGCGAAGGCGGCCCCCUGGACGACGACUGACGCUCAGGUGCGAAAGCGUGGGGCGCAAACAGG